UCACAUUUUUUACUUUUUUGGCUCUCCUAAUUUACGAAUAAUUUGAGAAAGAAGUUUCAUAUAGAUGGUGGUUCGUAGUUACAUACUUAAUGAAUUCUGUUACUGGUGAAAUAAGCUCAUGCUUAUGGCAGAAUUUUCUAAUGAAAUUGUUUGAUUGUUUGGUUUGCAAAGAAGCAUUUAUAUUUUUUAACAUAAUAAUUUUUUGUUGUUUAGACUAAGUUAGCAUAUCCUAUUCUUCAAAUAACUUGAAGGCUUCAUGUUAGAACUCUAUUUGUUCAUACACCAUGUAGUAAAUAACCUUGGUUAACCAGGUUAGCUACAAGAAAAAGAGAAAGUUUUUAUUUUUAUUUCUUCUAGAAAUGGAUUGGGAAUGAAAAGCAGUCCAGAAAAAGAAAAGCCAGCUCUCAUAAAGAUGAGGAGUUAAGACUGUGCCCUUCAAAGCGUAGAACUACAGCAUAUAAUCUUUUUUGCUCACAUAUGCUGAACUCAGAGGAAUGCAAGCAGCUGAGCUCUAAUUCUGAGAGGUUGAAGUUAGCUGUAGACCACUGGACAAGUGUUAGGGGCAGAGGAACGUGUGAUUUGGGCAGAAAGAGCAAAGGCUGUUCAAAGCAAUGACAUUCAUGACUUGACAGUUAAGCAGCGCACAAACCAAGUAAAAAAAGGGAAAAAGCAGCUUUUGUCACAGCUUACUUACUUAGAAAGUCUUGGUUGUGAAGCAGUUGUUUUAUUCUUGGAGCCUGGUGAUUCUUGUCUUCAACAGUUUGG